AAUUUUUCAUUCCGUUCCCCUGCCUAGCUCCACCCAGUUUCUCAUCACUGUUCAUGUGUCACCUGCUCUAUUUAACCUGCCUGCUCGAAGUCACUGGUGCCGGAUUAUUUGAGCAUUUGGUGAGAGUUAUCUAGCGUACUUGUUUUUGUUCUGAUUCUCUGAUCCUGACCUGCUAUGCCUUUGGACCUCUGAGCUUGCGUAUUCCUGCUCUGAUCUGUUUGCCUGACCGGUCUUUGGACUCCUGCCUGAUUCUGCUUGCUUACGACCCUGUCUUCUGACAUUGACCUGGAUUUCCCUUUGGUACCUCUUCGGAUCUCUGCUCUUCUGGCUCGAACUCCUGUGAAUCUCCAUGAAUCCAGCUUUGGCUUUGCCUUCUGGAAAGUCCUGCCUUCCCUUGUCUACUUGGAUUUGUUUGUCAUCCAGUUCUUCAAGGCUUCAGCAUCUGGAACUCUCUGGGAAGAGUUCGUCAUGUGGUGCUAGCAGCCGUUCUGCUGGAAUUCACCUCUCCCCCUGGAAAAGAACUGAACUUUAAGACCAGAGGGUCCUGCCUUAGACAUCCCUGCAGUUAUGGCACAUCCUUUGUUUUGAAUAAAAGCCUUUGAGAAAUCA